rnacentral:rRNA from 1 species
CCUCGGGUGGCUGCAGUGGGGAAUUUUGGACAAUGGGCGCAAGCCUGAUCCAGCCAUGCCGCGUGAGUGAAGAAGGCCUUCGGGUUGUAAAGCUCUUUCGGUGGGGAAGAAAUGGCACUUUCUAAUACAGAGUGUUGAUGACGGUACCCGCAUAAGAAGCACCGGCUAACUACGUGCCAGCAGCCGCGGUAAUACGUAGGGUGCGAGCGUUAAUCGGAAUUACUGGGCGUAAAGCGUGCGCAGGCGGUUGUAUAAGUCAGAUGUGAAAUCCCCGGGCUCAACCUGGGAACUGCAUUUGAGACUGUACGGCUAGAGUUUGGCAGAGGGGGGUGGAAUUCCACGUGUAGCAGUGAAAGGCGUAGAGAUGUGGAGGAACACCGAUGGCGAAGGCAGCCCCCUGGGCCAAUACUGACGCUCAUGCACGAAAGCGUGGGGAGCAAACA